rnacentral:lncRNA from 1 species
GCCUGGCUUGUCCUGCUCAGCAUGAUGCCUUCAAGGUUCACGCGUGUCGCUGCGUCAGGGCUCACCUCCUCGUGUGCCGAACACCCCAUUGUCUGGGUGACCACAUGUUGCCCCCCUACUCCUCCACCAAUGGGCUUCGUGUUGUCGCCACCUCUUGGCUGCUGUGAACCCGUUUGACUUUUUGAACUAACUUUCAGAUUCACUCUUGUAGUUUCAAGGUCGAACCUACAGAAGGCGAAAGAAACCCGCCGGCUCAGGAAUUGUGCAACCAGUGGCCUGGCGGCUGCAGGUCCCCCGUGCUGGGGGUCUUGACUUUGAUGCUUUCCCAGGUGCCCACUUGUUUCAGGAGCCUCCAACCUGUGAACCUCGCACACACAGCUUGGUGCAUGUCAGGUAGAGCCUAGUAGAGCUGUUCUUUUUUGGGGGGGUGGGGGAUGGAGUUUCACUCUUGCUGCCCAGGCUGGAAAACUCUCCAACAAAGUUGCCUCCAGUCACUGGAUGGGAAGCGGCCUCUCAGCUGAGCCGGACCCUCUCUCCUUCAGCUGGUGCUGCAGUGACUCCAAGUGACCAGUGACACCAGGUGUGGCAGCUGCGCACAGCCUUUAUCGUGCCGCACUCAAGGGCCCCGGGAAGGGAACCCAGGCAGGGCCCAGUGCCAUGGUGGUCUCCACUUCGCCGUGGAGAGAACGGCCAGGUGACCCAACCACAGCGAGGCCUUCAGUGUGUUCCUCACUUCCACCUGUGGCGGUCGCUUCUGGCUGUCACCCUGAGCACAUCCAUGUGGCCUCUUGGAGUGGCCUCUCCACGUGGCCUAGGCUUCCUGGCAACGCAGCCGCCUCAGGGCAGUGUGACUUCCUGAUGGUG